rnacentral:sRNA from 1 species
GAACCGUCGACACGAGUUGUUGCUGGCCCCUCCAAUGGGGGGGCAUGUGCACACUCUGUUUACACAUCCACUCACACCUGUGCACCCUCUGUAGUGCUGUGGCUCAAGGGACCCCAUCCCUCUUCCACGGUUCUAUGUUUCUAUAUACACCCUGUAGUGAAGUCUUACGGAAUGUAUGUCGCGUUUAACGCAAUGAAAUACAACUUUCAGCAACGGAUCUCUUGGCUCUCGCAUCGAUGAAGAACGCAGCGAAAUGCGAUAAGUAAUGUGAAUWGCAGAAUUCAGUGAAUCAUCGAAUCUUUGAACGCACCUUGCGCCCCUUGGCUAUUCCGAAGGGCAUGCCUGUUUGAGUAUCAUGAACACCCUCAACCUUUGUGGUUUGUCACAAUUGGGUUGGACUUUGGAGGUUUUGCUGGCCCUGAAGUUGGCUCCUCUCAAAUGAAUUAGCUUACCAGUGUUUGGUGGCGCCGCAGGUGUGAUAGUUAUCUACGCUUGCGGCCGUCUGCCAUGCAACCUUCAGUGAUGAGGGUUCGCUGGGGCUCACAGAUGUCUCUCCCGAGUGAAGACAGCUUUUGAUCGUUCGAUCUCAAAUCAGGUAGGACUACCCGCUGAACUUAAGCAUAUCAAUAAGCGGAGGAAA